AUUGAACGCUGGCGGCAUGCCUUACACAUGCAAGUCGAACGGCAGCACGGGAGCAAUCCUGGUGGCGAGUGGCGAACGGGUGAGUAAUGUAUCGGAACGUGCCCAGUCGUGGGGGAUAACGUAGCGAAAGCUACGCUAAUACCGCAUACGAUCUAUGGAUGAAAGCGGGGGAUCGCAAGACCUCGCGCGAUUGGAGCGGCCGAUAUCAGAUUAGGUAGUUGGUGGGGUAAAGGCCCACCAAGCCGACGCUCUGUAGCUGGUCUGAGAGGACGACCAGCCAAACUGGUACUUAGAAGCGGCCCAGACUCCUACGGGAGGCAGCAGUGGGGAAUUUUGGACAAUGGGCGCAAGCCUGAUCCAGCAAUGCCGCGUGCAGGAUGAAGGCCUUCGGGUUGUAAACUGCUUUUGUACGGAGCGAAAAGGCUCUCUCUAAUACAGGGGGCUCAUGACGGUACCGUAAGAAUAAGCACCGGCUAACUACGUGCCAGCCGCCGCCGUAACAC
rnacentral:rRNA from 1 species